CCUACGGGAGGCAGCAGUGAGGAAUAUUGGUCAAUGGACGAGAGUCUGAACCAGCCAAGUAGCGUGAAGGAUGACUGCCCUAUGGGUUGUAAACUUCUUUUAUAUGGGAAUAAAACGUUCCACGUGUGGGAUUUUGUAUGUACCAUAUGAAUAAGGAUCGGCUAACUCCGUGCCAGCAGCCGCGGUAAUAUGGAGGAACCGAGCUUUAUCCGGAUUUAUUGGGUUUAAAGGGAGCGUAGGUGGAUUGUUAAGUCAGUUGUGAAAGUUUGCGGCUCAACCGUAAAAUUGCAGUUGAAACUGGCAGUCUUGAGUACAGUAGAGGUGGGCGGAAUUCGUGGUGUAGCGGUGAAAUGCUUAGAUAUCACGAAGAACUCCGAUUGCGAAGGCAGUUCACUGGACUGCAACUGACACUGAGGCUCGAAAGUGUGGGUAUCAAACAGGAUUAGAUACCCUGGUAGUC
rnacentral:rRNA from 1 species